rnacentral:rRNA from 1 species
GUACGGGAGGCAGCAGUGAGGAAUAUUGCGCAAUGGGGGAAACCCUGACGCAGCGACGCCGCGUGGGCGACGAAGGCCUUCGGGUCGUAAAGCCCUUUUGGCAGGGACGAGUGAGGACGGUACCUGCCGAAUAAGUCUCGGCUAACUACGUGCCAGCAGCCGCGGUAAAACGUAGGAGGCGAGCGUUAUCCGGAUUCACUGGGCGUAAAGCGCGCGUAGGCGGUUGGGUAAGUCGGACGUGAAAGCCCCUGGCUCAACUGGGGGAGGCCGUUCGAUACUGCCCGGCUUGAGGGUGAGAGAGGGAAGUGGAAUUCCCGGUGUAGCGGUGGAAUGCGUAGAGAUCGGGAGGAACACCAGUGGCGAAAGCGGCUUCCUGGCUCACUCCUGACGCUGAGAGCGCGAAAGCGUGGGGAGCAAACGGGAUUAGAUACCCCGGU